rnacentral:lncRNA from 1 species
GCCGCCAUUUUUUUCCAACCAAUAACGAAGGGAAAUAAUCCAAUCAUUAAAAUUACAGGUAAACUCGGCCCAUGAUCAACUUGGACCACGACAAGACCAAACUGCACACUCAAAAUCAUUUCACAAAAAAUAAAAUAAAAAAAUAAAAUAAAAUUGAAAUACUGACCUUCCUACCCUAUUUUUUUAAAGCAUGUAACCUUAAGGCC